rnacentral:misc_RNA from 1 species
AACGCAACUUGCGCUCACUUCUGGUGAGCAUGCCUGUUUGAGAAUCUAUAGUAUUUUUUAGCCAUUAUGGCUGAGAGUUGAGUGAAGUUUCGGCUGAUGCAGAAACUCGCUUGAAAACAAUUGCUCGAGGUGAAGUGUGCUCAUGCAGCCACUACACGCUAGAGAGAUGAAGGGCUUGCCCACUUCCUCUAGCGCUAGUGUCUGUUCACUUGCUAUCGACUGAAUAUUUUUUAAAAUCUUGGUCUCAAAUCAGGCAGGAAGACCCGCUGAACUUAA